rnacentral:rRNA from 1 species
UGAGGAAUAUUGGUCAAUGGGCGGGAGCCUGAACCAGCCAAGCCGCGUGACGGAAGAAGGCGCUAAGCGUCGUAAACGUCUUUUGCCGGGGAACAAAGGCGCGGACGCGUCCGCGUGUGAGUGUACCCGGAGAAAAAGCAUCGGCUAACUCCGUGCCAGCAGCCGCGGUAAUACGGAGGAUGCGAGCGUUAUCCGGAUUUAUUGGGUUUAAAGGGUGCGUAGGCGGCCGUUAAGUCAGCGGUAAAAGCCCGGGGCUCAACCCGGCGAGCCGUUGAAACUGGGGGGACUAGAGACGGCGAGAAGUACGCGGAAUGCGCGGUGUAGCGGUGAAAUGCAUAGAUAUCGCGCAGAACUCCGAUUGCGAAGGCAGCGUACCGGCGCCGGACUGACGCUGAGGCACGAAAGCGUGGGUAUCGAACAGGAUUAGAUACC